UGGUUCAUCUUCUUCAUUAAAUGACCGAAUAUCACAAUGAAAAAUAGGGUUUGAAUGCUCAAAAUAGUUCGGCACUUUGGGGGAGCAAUUAUCAAGAAAUGAGAAAAUCGAAUUUGGAUCGAGGAAGUCGAAAAUUAUCAAAUAAUCGUUCCGGUCUGUUCGUGUUAGUACAAGCCAACAAAGAACCUGAAGCAUCAGCAUCGAAAGGAAAGGAGAAAGUCAUCGAGGACUAAAACGGGAGAAUUACGGUGUGUA